ensembl:lncRNA
UUCACUUCUUUGGUGAACCUGCUACAAUUUACAUGGAAUUUUCCUACUCCCUUUCACUAAAUAAAAUCACCUCCUUUUUUGGAUGGGGUUCUGCUAUUUAGCUCUGACUGAACUCACUAUGUAGUCCAGGGUGGCCUUGAACUCAAGGUGAUCCUCCUGCCUCAGCCUCCCAAAUGCUGGGAUCACAGGGUCCCACUAUGCAGUCCAGCCUGGCCUUAAACUGGAGUUGGGUCCUCCCUCCUCAACCUCCUGAGUGCUGGGAUUAUAGGCAUACGCCACCACGCCUGGCAAAAACUAAAGAAUUUCUUGAACGCUGGACAAAGAUCUUGGAGUCACCUUUGUCACCCAAGCCUAAGGGCACGGCCGGUUUCUGGGCUCCGUCCCCAAUAGAAGCCUGCUCUGGAAUGCAGACUUCGCAAAUCGGCUGGGCCCCGGCAGGUGGACUUUCCCCUCCGGGGCCCACACCUAGCUUCCGAAGGCCGGGAGAGGGAGAAAAGCGCUCCGGGAAGGCGCUGGCUGCAUUGUUCUGAUGCCUCUUUAAUCCUGCGUAUGUUCACAAUAAACAUUUGUUGAACAAAUAAACGAG